UAUUAAUUAUAUAUUAAUCUGAUAUUAUAAGUAAACAGUACACUAAUCACUACACAAAAAGUUAAAUCCCAACAAAUAAUUCGAAUUCUGCUAUGAUAGAUCUGCCAGUAAUACUCAGGUAUUGCUAAAUAUAGAGACCACUGCCACUUAAACUGUGCAAUUAUAUUAUCUCCCUUUCAAUUGGUCUGUCUUACUUUUGUUCUAAUUCGUUUCAAAGAAAAUAUCUCGAUCAAAAAAUUAAAAAAUAUUUAAAUACAUUUUACGAAUCUAAAAUUAGACAAAUAAAUUGAAACGAAAAGAGUACUCGAGAACAUCUACUAGAACUUAAGUCUCUUCUUUACUCUUUCUCCAGUCGAACUAUCACUUUGAGUUUUUGCUUUAACUUCUUCAUCUAUCCCUUUCUCUGACUUGUUCACAUUAAUCUGGGUCCCCACCUC
rnacentral:lncRNA from 1 species